CCUACGGGUGGCUGCAGUAAGGAAUAUUGGACAAUGGCGGAGACGCUGAUCCAGCUAUCCCGCGUGCAGGAUGAAGGACCUAUGGUUUGUAAACUGCUUUAGACUGGGGCGAAAAAGUGGGAUUUAUCCUACAUUGACGGUACCAGUAAAAUAAGCACCGGCUAACUCCGUGCCAGCAGCCGCGGUAAUACGGAGGGUGCAAGAGUCAUCCGGAAUCACUGGGUAUAAAGGGUGCUUCGAAGUCAGGAUUGAAAGGCCACGGCUUAACCGUGGGAUUGCUUUUGAGACUGGCGAGCUUGGAUUAGGACGAGGUUGGCGGAAUGUGGCAAGUAGCGGUGAAAUGCAUAGAUAUGCCAUAGAAUACCGAUUGCGAAGGCAGCUGACUAGACCUAUAUUGACGCUGAGGCACGAAAGCGUGGGGAGCGAACAGGAUUAGAUACCCCAGUAGUC
rnacentral:rRNA from 1 species